GACGAACGCUGGCGGCGUGCUUAACACAUGCAAGUGGAGCGACGAACCAGGCUUCGGCCUGGGGCAGAGCCGCGAACGGGUGAGUAACACGUGGGUGACCUGCCCCGAUGACCGGGACAACCCGAGGAAACUCGGGCUAAUACCGGAUGUGUCCCCAGCCAUAGUGGGCUGGGUGGAAAGGUAGCUUCGGCUUCCGCAUCGGGAUGGGCCCGCGGCGCAUUAGCUUGUUGGUGAGGUAAAGGCUCACCAAGGCGACGAUGCGUAGCUGGUCUGAGAG
rnacentral:rRNA from 1 species